rnacentral:rRNA from 1 species
UACGUAGGGCGCGAGCGUUGUCCGGAAUUAUUGGGCGUAAAGAGCUCGUAGGCGGCUGGUCGCGUCUGCCGUGAAAGCCCGCGGCUUAACCGUGGGUCUGCGGUGGAUACGGGCCGGCUAGAGGCAGGCAGGGGCAAGUGGAAUUCCUGGUGUAGCGGUGAAAUGCGCAGAUAUCAGGAGGAACACCGGUGGCGAAGGCGGCUUGCUGGGCCUGUCCUGACGCUGAGGAGCGAAAGCGUGGGGAGCGAAC